CUCCAGAUGUUGCUGAACUACAACUCCCAUUUCACUCUGGCUAUCUAUUUCAUUCGAAGAAUCAUGGGAAUUGUAGUUCAGCAACAUCUGGAG